rnacentral:rRNA from 1 species
UACGAAGGGGGCUAGCGUUGCUCGGAAUCACUGGGCGUAAAGGGUGCGUAGGCGGGUCUUUAAGUCAGGGGUGAAAUCCUGGAGCUCAACUCCAGAACUGCCUUUGAUACUGGCGACCUUGAGUCCGGAAGAGGUGAGUGGAACUGCGAGUGUAGAGGUGAAAUUCGUAGAUAUUCGCAAGAACACCAGUGGCGAAGGCGGCUCACUGGUCCGGUACUGACGCUGAGGUGCGAAAGCGUGGGGAGCAAACAGG